AUCCUUAGGUCGCUGGUUCGAUU
rnacentral:piRNA from 1 species